rnacentral:rRNA from 1 species
UGAGUAAUGCCUAGGAAAUUGCCCUGAUGUGGGGGAUAACCAUUGGAAACGAUGGCUAAUACCGUAUAAUGCCUACGGGCCAAAGAGGGGGACCUUCGGGCCUCUCGCGUCAGGAUAUGCCUAGGUGGGAUUAGCUAGUUGGUGAGGUAAUGGCUCACCAAGGCGACGAUCCCUAGCUGGUCUGAGAGGAUGAUCAGCCACACUGGAACUGAGACACGGUCCAGACUCCUACGGGAGGCAGCAGUGGGGAAUAUUGCACAAUGGGCGCAAGCCCGAUGCAGCCAUGCCGCGUGUGUGAAGAAGGCCUUCGGGUUGUAAAGCACUUUCAGUCGUGAGGAAGGUAGUGUAGUUAAUAGCUGCAUUAUUUGACGUUAGCGACAGAAGAAGCACCGGCUAACUCCGUGCCAGCAGCCGCGGUAAUACGGAGGGUGCGAGCGUUAAUCGGAAUUACUGGGCGUAAAGCGCAUGCAGGUGGUUUGUUAAGUCAGAUGUGAAAGCCCGGGGCUCAACCUCGGAAUUGCAUUUGAAACUGGCAGACUAGAGUACUGUAGAGGGGGGUAGAAUUUCAGGUGUAGCGGUGAAAUG